rnacentral:rRNA from 1 species
UACGUAGGGUGCGAGCGUUGUCCGGAAUUAUUGGGCGUAAAGAGCUCGUAGGCGGUGUGUCACGUCGGCCGUGAAAACCUGCAGCUUAACUGUGGGCGUGCGGUCGAUACGGGCAUCACUGGAGUUCGGCAGGGGAGAACGGAAUUCCUGGUGUAGCGGUGAAAUGCGCAGAUAUCAGGAGGAACACCGGUGGCGAAGGCGGCGGCCUGGGUUGACACUGACGCUGAGGCGCGAAAGCGUGGGGAGCAAACAGG